rnacentral:piRNA from 1 species
UGAAAAGGAAUUAAGUUGUCGAUGAGCCAU